GAUGAACGCUAGCGGCAGGCUUAAUACAUGCAAGUCGAGGGGCAGCACGAGUAGCAAUACUUGGUGGCGACCGGCGCACGGGUGAGUAACGCGUAUGCAACCUACCUAUAACUGGGGCAUAGCUCAGAGAAAUUUGGAUUAAUUCCCCAUAAUAUCAUUGAUUGGCAUCUUUUAAUGAUUAAAGUUCUGACGGUUAUAGAUGGGCAUGCGUGACAUUAGCUAGUUGGUAAGGUAACGGCUUACCAAGGCUACGAUGUCUAGGGGUUCUGAGAGGAUACACCCCCACACUGGUACUGAGACACGGACCAGACUCCUACGGGAGGCAG
rnacentral:rRNA from 1 species